CACUGAUUAGUGUAUCGUGUGAUAAUAGAAACAGACUUUUAAUGACUAACUUAUAAGUGGCUCUUAUGUUCUGCUUCUAUCAAGACUUCAAUGUGUUUCUCAAAUAGGAAAAAACCAGACUCAUAGGGCAAUAUGCAUAUGCAGUAAAUGAAGUGAAUGUAAACCAAAAUAACUCACAAGAGUAGAGCAAUUGAGUCUGCUCUGAACUGUGC